rnacentral:rRNA from 1 species
CAGUCGCCACGGGAAUACGAAGGGGGCUAGCGUUGCUCGGAAUCACUGGGCGUAAAGGGUGCGUAGGCGGGUCUCUAAGUCAGGGGUGAAAUCCUGGAGCUCAACUCCAGAACUGCCUUUGAUACUGAAGAUCUUGAGUUCGGGAGAGGUGAGUGGAACUGCGAGUGUAGAGGUGAAAUUCGUAGAUAUUCGCAAGAACACCAGUGGCGAAGGCGGCUCACUGGCCCGAUACUGACGCUGAGGCACGAAAGCGUGGGGAGCAAACAGGAUUAGAGACCCGCGUAGUCCCUGUCUCUUAUAC